AAAAAACAAAACCGACCAACCAACCACACCAUCAACAACAAACACCUAUUUGUCUAGCAGAAAGAAACUGCUGAAUGGGUGAAAAGGAAUCUACAGAUGUAGCACUUCAGCUAUAGGGAAAUCCCAGAGUCUCUUAGAGGAAGGCAGAAUCUGCAAUUAGGCCCUUGGAGAAAGAAAGCAGCACACAGGCUGACUGAAAAGGAG
rnacentral:lncRNA from 1 species